rnacentral:rRNA from 1 species
GAGCUUGCUCCAUGAUUCAGCGGCGGACGGGUGAGUAAUGCCUAGGAAUCUGCCUGGUAGUGGGGGAUAACGUUUCGAAAGGAACGCUAAUACCGCAUACGUCCUACGGGAGAAAGUGGGGGAUCUUCGGACCUCACGCUAUCAGAUGAGCCUAGGUCGGAUUAGCUAGUUGGUGGGGUAAUGGCCCACCAAGGCGACGAUCCGUAACUGGUCUGAGAGGAUGAUCAGUCACACUGGAACUGAGACACGGUCCAGACUCCUACGGGAGGCAGCAGUGGGGAAUAUUGGACAAUGGGCGAAAGCCUGAUCCAGCCAUGCCGCGUGUGUGAAGAAGGUCUUCGGAUUGUAAAGCACUUUAAGUUGGGAGGAAGGGCAGUAAGUUAAUACCUUGCUGUUUUGACGUUACCAACAGAAUAAGCACCGGCUAACUUCGUGCCAGCAGCCGCGGUAAUACGAAGGGUGCAAGCGUUAAUCGGAAUUACUGGGCGUAAAGCGCGCGUAGGUGGUUCAGCAAGUUGGAUG